rnacentral:lncRNA from 1 species
CCCUUCCCAACCAGCCCGCCCGAUCGAUCUUGUAAGAUCGGCUAAUUCAAAGGGGUUAAUCUGGUCCGAAGUUGUCGGAACAAAUCGUUUGCUUUAUCGAAAAAAGCUUGAUUUUGGUUGGACCCCUAUUUUCAACCAUUACAGCUGGCGUCGACCAGCUUUGCGAUACGGACGGACACGAAGAAGAACGCAGGCAGCGGAAAUGCAAAAGAGAAGAGCAAAGAUUCCCGACCCAGUUAUUGACUCAACCACAAAUCUGUUGAAUGAAGGUAGCUUGCUUACUCUCAGCCACUAGUUAGACGGAAAUCCCUUGACUUCGCUUAUGCCCUUAUGCAGUUAAAGAAAGCAAGUGAGGCGGGCUAAGAUUCCAUUCGAAGUAACAGGAUUCGAUGUUGCACCAUUUUCAACUCUUAUCGGGAUCCGGAGUUUUUCGAGAAAAGGUCCCAUCCUUCAAUAUCAUGAUUGGGUCGACCAGGCCAGAUCAUGAGUGAAUAGAAAAUCGAAAAUGUACAUAGCUGUUCCAGCUGAAAUACUUGGAAUAAUUCUACCACUUCUACUAGGAG